rnacentral:lncRNA from 1 species
GCAAGUCUUGCAAAAUUCAGAAGGCCCAAAAUCAAAACUCUGCUUCCAACGGUCACUAGAAUUUAGCUUUCUCUCUCAAGUGCACCAAAUUUCAUUAGAA